AUGCUCAUUUUGGCAGUACAUUUACUAAAAUGAGAAUGAUAGAGAUGAUUUUUAUGGUCCCUGAAAAAGGGUGACACUCAGAUUUGUGAAGUGUACCAUGUACUU
ensembl:snRNA U6 U6 spliceosomal RNA